rnacentral:rRNA from 1 species
UACAGAGGGUGCAAGCGUUAAUCGGAUUUACUGGGCGUAAAGCGUGCGUAGGAGGCUUGUUAAGUCGGUUGUGAAAUCCCUGGGCUCAACCUGGGAAUUGCAGUCGAUACUGGCAGGCUAGAGUUCGGUAGAGGGCGGCAGAAUUCCCGGUGUAGCGGUGAAAUGCGUAGAUAUCGGGAGGAAUACCGAUGGCGAAGGCAACCGCCUGGGCCUGAACUGACUCUGAGGCACGAAAGCGUGGGGAGCAAACAGG